ACAGCACACACCAAAAAAUCCCACACACACACAACAACCUCUUACAACCAUCUCAGUGCUAAUCUAUAAAAAUAUAGAAGAACUKAUGCUAGARCUAGUAACAAGAACAAAUCUCUACGYACAACUGUAAAACAGCCACAGAAAAACUACUGGAAAUU
rnacentral:rRNA from 1 species